CACUCCCCCUUUCCCUGCAUGCACGCGUGCGCACAUGAGCACAUGCACACGCACACAUCUUUGACAUGCAAAGUGACAUUGACGUCUAAUGCUGAUGUUUGUUAAGUCUUCAAUAAGCAGACUGCUAUCCAUAUAACCACAUAGAUUAGGCACAGAGUAAGGGAUUAGUGGGGCAGGUUAGAUCAUCCUAGGGAAAGGAAACAGAAUAGUGAGGAUGGAGGAUGGAAAUGGGGGAGGCCUGGCAUGGGAAGCUCAAGCAGGGAGAAGGGGAGACGAAGGUAAGAGACAGCUAACACUAAGGGCCGCAUGAGGGGUCCUAUGGAAAGCUGACAGAGUAGAAGCAUCUUAAAAGAUACACAUCUGAAAGUGAUCUAAAUGGAAACACCAAAUCAUGGGGAAACAGAGCCCUAACUGGACUUCUCUCAUUACCAAGUCAAGGCUCCAGCUCUCCUGGGCCUCUCUAGUUACCAGUCAAGGCUCCAGUUCUGAGAAUGCAAUUGUUGGCUAAACCGGUUCCAUGGGAACCCCAAAACAACCCAGACGGUUGCCAAGGCUACUGGUUGCUCACCACAAAUUCAUGGUAAGGCCCCAUUGCUAGAGAAAACACCUACAUAACUCAUUGAAUAUGGAGAACUUGAGCUGGUUUCUACUUAGAGCCUUUACCCCUACUGACUAGUGUUCGUAGUACGGAGGGAUACUCUGUAGGCUACCAAAGGAAAAAGGUAAACAUCAACCCAGCUAAAAACUCUUCGAUCUACAAUGGUGACCUGCCUGCAAGACAUGCUAGUGCCAUAGGGUCACAAAGCUGAUGGGACUAAUCAACCAAUAUUGGAUUGAGAUACAGUGCAUGAGAUACAGCCCAUCCCUAGCACUGCUCAGGUGGCCAAGAACUUAAGACUAGAUGGACCAAGGACUAGGAGAAAACUAAACACUACCUUUCUGCUAAAGGAAGAUAGAAAUAA
rnacentral:lncRNA from 1 species